rnacentral:rRNA from 1 species
CCUACGGGUGGCAGCAGUGAGGAAUAUUGGUCAAUGGCCGGAAGGCUGAACCAGCCAUGCCGCGUGAAGGUCAGUGCCCUAUGGGCGUUUAACCUCUUUUGUGCGGGAGCAAUAAUGGUCACGUGUGGCCAGACGAGAGUACCGUACGAAUAAGCAUCGGCCAACUCCGUGCCAGCAGCCGCGGUAAUACGGGGGAUGCAAGCGUUAUCCGGAUUUUUUGGGUUUAAAGGGUGCGUAGGAUGGGAUGUAAGGCAGCGGUGAAAUGCCCGCGCUCAACGGGGUGAAGUGCCAUUGAUACUGGCUGGCUGGAGUGCAGAUGCCGUAGGAGGAAUGUGUGGUGUAGCGGUGAAAUGCAUAGAUAUCACACAGAACACCGAUUGCGAAGGCAUCCCACGAAUCCGCGAUUGACACUGAUGCACGAAAGUGUGGGUAUCAAACAGGAUUAGAUACCCUAGUAGUC